rnacentral:rRNA from 1 species
CACGUAGGGCGCAAGCGUUGUCCGGAAUUAUUGGGCGUAAAGAGCUCGUAGGCGGUCUGUUACGUCUGCUGUGAAAACCCAGGGCUUAACCCUGGGCUUGCAGUGGAUACGGGCAGACUAGAGGCAGGAGGGGAGAAUGGAAUUCCCGGUGUAGCGGUGAAAUGCGCAGAUAUCGGGAGGAACACCGGUGGCGAAGGCGGC